UUUAUUUCUGAGGUUCUGGUUCCAGAAGAAAAACAUAUCAUAUAUAUAUACUCACUUCGUCAACAACCCUUUACUUCCACUACUAGCCUAUCUCUUUUCUAAAUUAGAGCCACAUCACGUCGGUGUUUUUCCUGCUAGCUUUCACACCACCCUUUACUACUUUCCGUCUCUCUCAAGUUUCUCUAGUCAUGACCUCUCUAAUGCCACAUGCCUGGAUCCGUAAAUCAACAAAUUAUUUUCGGUUUUGUCGUCAGUGAUUCUUUACUCCAUUAUUAAAUCCCCAAUAAACUUCAACUGGCAGAAGACACAUAUGCCACGAUUCCAGUAAAGAGUGGAUUUCCAGAUAAACAGAAAAAAUACUUCAAAAAGCCAAGGAGCAUAAACGUUUCCUUACCUCUCAAUCCAAGUGGAACAGAUCCUUCCAAAAAAAACUCUCACUUGUUUCGGUCUUUAGGCCUAAUAUGGUAUUUUUCCUUUUGAACAAAUUUUAUUUACUAUGGUAUUUUGCAUUGUCGGUUUUGUUAUGAAUGCUUCCUUUACAUAGGGCUAUGUCUUUGGAUUUAUUCUUCUUUCUCUGGUUAUGUAUUUCACAAUGUAUUCCCUCCUCGUGUAUGAUAUAGAAUUUCAGUUGACCAAAAAAAAAGAUCAUUUUACGUAGCUAGGAGUGCAUCGUGGGAGGCCAAACGGAGGAAAAAAGUGUUGUGGUGGAGCUUAACUAUGUCCACAGAAAAUUCUUCCAAGCCCUCAUCAUGCAGAAUAAUGCGGGUAAAAUUUUGAUCUGACCAAUA